CGAACGGGCGAGUAAUGCGUGACCAACCUGCCCCAUGCUCCAGAAUAGCUCUUGGAAACGGGUGGUAAUGCUGGAUGCUCCAACUUGACGCAUGUCUUGUUGGGAAAGUGUUUAGUGGCAUGGGAUGGGGUCGCGUCCUAUCAGCUUGUAGGCGGGGUAAUGGCCCACCUAGGCUUCGACGGGUAGCCGGCCUGAGAGGGCGGACGGCCACAUUGGGACUGAGAUACGGCCCAGACUCCUACGGGAGGCAGCGUU
rnacentral:rRNA from 1 species